CGCCGCUACCUGCCAGUCGCGCGCCUGCCGCCAGCGCCCCGCCGCCACCCCACGCGCGCCCCACCGCCCCCGCGCGCCGGCUCGUGUACUCCGCUGUCCGCUCCCAUUCCACUAUGGCCUAGCUGCGUGCUGCUCUGGCAUCGGUCGGUGGAUAAGCCCAGCAGGCAAGCAGGCAGGAGACUAGGAGAGCUCAGCACUGCACGCACGCUCCCCUCCCCUUACUGGCCAAAUCGAUCGUCCCCUUCAGGUUCCAGGCUCCGGAGCUUGCUUUACUUCAGGUUGUCUAGCUGCAUGUUGAAGUAUAAUUCCGGAUGUAUCCUUGAAGUGUAAACAUUUAAGGAUUGUGUAAUUCUUUGGGUACCAAGGCCCAUUUUUAAAUUUUAAACAAUCCAGUUUUUGCUUGAAUGUAUCAUCAGAGAUUCGCAGUAGGGAACAUCAGAGAUUAAUAUUUCUUGUCCCUUGAAUGUAUCAUGGCUUGUUUAGAGGCGGGGGCAGCACUUUCUGAUCUCAAAUUUUGUUCUUCACUUAUAUUUAUUUCAUCAGAGAUUCACAGUUUUUAUCCGCUAGGAAGGGUGGUAAAAGGCUAAGUUUUUUUUUAUGAAUUCUCUGCGUUCUUCACUAAUCCCCACCCUAAUCAGUAAACACGCUUACGAAUCGUUUCCUAAUCGUGUGACAGGGACAACAAUGACCUCAGGGACAACAAUGACCUCCAAGACGAGCGGCAGCAUAACCACCAACCUGAGCACCACGGGGAAGCUCUCCUCCGUGGGCAGCAGCUUCAUGGCGUCUGCCGGCAGCCGCAGCACCAGCGGCGGGGUUUGACAAGGGGGCCAAGUACUCCGACGACCAGAUCCUCGAGGCGCCCAACCUCCGCACCUUCACAUUCAUAGAGCUCAAGACGGCCACCAAGAACUUCCGUCCAGACAGCGUCCUCGGCGAAGGAGGGUUCGGGAGAGUCUACAAAGGGUGGGUGGAUGAGAAGACCAUGGCGCCGACCAAGAACGACACCGGCAUGGUUGUUGCGGUCAAGAAGCUCAACUCGGAGAGCAUGCAUGGGUUUGAGGAAUGGCAGAGAUCGUGAGUCAGAGCGCAAGGAUCCUGAUUAUGACAGAAGCUAUGACAGGGUUUCCAGGCCAGUUAUACAUGGUCAUAUACCACCCCGCGUGCCCCGCGCCGCCAGCCCGCGCCUCCACCCCGUGCGAUCUCUGUUUAGAUCAAUCGAGUUGAGUUUGUUCAUUCCAAGUCAUUAUUGCAUAGAGAUAUCAAGCCUGAUAAUUUUCUCAUGGGUCUCGGGAAAAGAGAAAACCAGGUUUAUGUUAUCGAUUUUGGACUUGCAAAGAAGUACAGAGAUACAUCAACACACCAGCACAUUCCAUACAGAACAAAGCCGGAGGGAUGACAUGGAAUAAAAAACAAAAGUAUUCGGGAAGGUUGGUUUAAUACACUGUCAGCCUUCCAUGGUAGGGCCUGAAAGCUGGGAACAAAAAACAAAAGUAUGAAAAGAUCAGCGAAAGGAAAAUUGCUACUUCAACUGAGGCUCUCUGCCGUGGAUAUCCUACCAAAUUUGCUUCUUACUUCCAUUACUGUCGCUCACAGCGUUUCGAAGAUGCACCGGACUAUCAGUACCUGAAGAAUUUGUUCAGAGACCUUUUUAUUCGGGAAGGACAUAUUGCUAAGAAUCUGCCACAUUAUGUUUGCUUGAGGUAUUAAUUUAUCCAGGUGUUUAAUGCUGGAGUACAGUUAGAAGAUCCCUAAUCAAUUGCUUCUCAUUUCAGUCGUGUAACUUUAUUCAUGCUACAACAACGACUUUGAGCGAACAUGAGACCACUGAGCUCUAGAGUGAAUGAAGGACGUCGUCUUUGGAAGUCAGACAUCACCUAGAGCUAGGGUGUCCAUUCUUGACAUGUUUCUCUUAGUGAUAGGUGGAUACUGUCUAGUUAGGAACAGAGUCUUGAGGGAUUGAUGGACGCAUGCAUCUUCAAUUCCUGUGUGUUGUAUUACUACUGGUACAAUCUCCAAUUCUUGUGAACUUAUGUAUUUGGACUUGUGUGAAUUUGUGAU